GUUUACCGUGAAAAAAUUAGAGUGUUCAAAGCAGGCAGAUUCAAUUUUCUGCCACCGAAUACAUUAGCAUGGGAUAAUGGAAUAGGACCCUGUCCUCCUCUUUUCAGUUGGUUAAAUUUACGUGUGAGGAUCAGGGUAAUGAUUAAUAGGGAUAGUUGGGGGCAUUAAUAUUUAAUUGUCAGAGGUGAAAUUCUUGGAUUUAUGAAAGAUUAACUUCUGCGAAAGCAUCUGCCAAGGAUGUUUUCAUUAAUCAAGAACGAAAGUUAGGGGAUCGAAGACGAUCAGAUACCGUCGUAGUCUUAACCAUAAACGAUGCCGACCAGCGAUUAGGAGACGUUGAAUACAAAACACCACCAUGCAUAAUUCAAUAUAUGGCACCUCAC
rnacentral:rRNA from 1 species